rnacentral:ncRNA from 21 species
AAUCGUUAAUAUAGUUUAACUCAUAUAUUUCCUGAAUAUGGCAGGAUGUUUCUACAAGGAACCUUAAAUUUCUUACUAUGAGUGAUUUGUUUGUAUGC